rnacentral:rRNA from 1 species
GCAUAUCAAUAAGCGGAGGAAAAGAAAAUAACAAUGAUUCCCUUAGUAACGGCGAGUGAAGGGGGAUAAGCUCAAAUUUUAAAUCUGACUUGGUUAUACCUAUCAGAGUUGUAAUUUGAAGAAGCGUUUUCCGCGUCUCGGUUGACCCAAGUCCUUUGGGAUAAGGCAUCAUGGAGGGUGAGAAUCCCGUUCGGUUGACCUUAUGACGUUUUACGAUACGCUUUCUAAGAGUCGAGUUGUUUGGGAUUGCAGCUCAAAAUGGGAGGUAAAUUUCUCCUAAGGCUAAAUAUCGGCGAGAGACCGAUAGCGAACAAGUACCGUGAGGGAAAGAUGAAAAGAACUUUGAAAAGAGAGUUAAAUAGUACGUGAAAUUGUUGAAAGGGAAACGAUUGAAGUCAGUCGUACCGUCGAGAAAUCAGCUUUUCGAAUGUGCAUUUGUGGGCGUAUGAGAUCUUCAUUGUUUGCAAUAUGCGUAUUUCUUGGGUGUACUUUUUCGUAUGGUAGGUCAACGUCGGUUUUGAUUGCCAUAAAAUGACCGGAGGAAUGUAGCUUCGGCUUCGGUUGAAGUGUUAUAGCCUUUGGUAAAUGUGGUGAUUAGGACCGAGGAUUGCAACGAAUACCUUUUAGGCUAUCCGUCUGACCUCUGAAAGUUAAUUAGGUGCCGAAAGCUUGCUUACGGUCAUUUAAGUUGACGGUCAAAAGGUUAGAACGUGAUUACAUUCGUUAAGGAUGUUGACGUC